rnacentral:rRNA from 1 species
UACGGGGGGAGCAAGCGUUGUUCGGAUUUACUGGGCGUAAAGGGCGCGUAGGCGGUCAGUGCAAGUCAGUUGUGAAAUCUCUGGGCUUAACUCAGAACGGUCAACUGAUACUGCUCGACUAGAGUACAGAAGGGGCAACUGGAAUUCUCGGUGUAGCGGUGAAAUGCGUAGAUAUCGAGAGGAACACCUGCGGCGAAGGCGGGUUGCUGGGCUGAUACUGACGCUGAGGCGCGAAAGCUAGGGGAGCGAACGGG